UUUCUCUUCUCUCGCCAAAAAAAACCUAAGCCCAGAAAUGAAACGCAGGUCACACAAUUUUGUCCCUUUUCGCAUCCCUCACAUAAAGCAACUUCCUUCGUUGAUCUCAGAUGGCGACGGUUAUGGCGGACAAGAAAUCGAAAACGAAGAUCGUCUGUACCAUCGGUCCCGCAUCAGAGUUCGUUCCCAUGAUCGAGAAGCUUCUCGGAACAUGCAUGAACGUCGCUCGUUUCAACUUCUCUCAUGGCUCUUACGAUUACCAUCAGGAAACCCUAGAUAAUCUCAGAACCUCCAUGGAUAACACCGGUAUCCUCUGCACCGUCAUGCCCGUGUUGUCCAAAAGCUCUGGGCUUUUGUUCGAGAAGCGAUUAAUCGAGAAACACAUACAGUUCAUUCUUUGUAGUUCAUUCUUUCUCUCUCUAAGCGUUUAUCCACCGAUCAACUUCUCUGCUUCCGGAAUCGCUUUCACCAUCGCCGCCGGUUAGGGUUCCAUCAACUUCUCCUCGAAAUGCACGGGAUCGAGACACACGAUGGGUAUUAGGGUUCCAAUGAUUGAAUGAAGGGGAUGGAGCAUUCUAUGGACCAAAGAUAGAUAUCAGUGUAUCUAAUGCGCUGAGUAGAAAAUUCCAGUGUGCAACUCUACAGCUUGACUUCCAGCUUCCUGAUCGUUUUAAGUUGGAAUUCUCAGCUGAGGAUGAAGCCAAAAUUGAGAGGCCUGUUAUGAUACACAGAGCCAUUCUAGGAUCAUUUUAAGUUGGAAUUCUCUGAAGAGUUACCUGGUCGUACAAACAAUGAGAUAAAAAACUAUUGGAACACUCGGAUCAAGAGGCGUACCCGAGCUGGCUUGCCACUUUAUCCUCCUGGUGUAUAUCAAGCGGCUCUUAAUAACCAAAGCACCGGUAGAAUUAACGCUGGCAAUAAAGUGCAUUCUGAUUUCUUGCAUAAAAGGAGUUUUAAUGAACCCUUUUUUAACUCACAAAGCAUAGAAGUCUUCAUGCAGUGUAAACAUGUUUACUCGACUCAUGGCUGAUAAUAGUUUAAGAAAACAGUCUUGUCAAAAUAAGUUAAUUUAAGUAGUCACUAAAUUUUAUUUUUUAUGAAGGUUAGCAUAUUCCCAACAAACUACACAAUGGAACAGGAACAUUGUGAAAUCAAUAUUAUGAAAAUCUAUGCAUAUGGUUUUCCUAUUAAUUCCUUAAAAUUCAUGUGCAGGAAACAUUGUGAAAUCAGAGUAUGUUGAUCAUGUGUAGUCCCCUAACAGUUCUUAUAUCAAGUCUCUGUUGAACAAUAGUCGGCCAGAUUUUGUGCUUGAUUCAGGUUGGUAUGAGUCGUGUUCUGGGCAUGGAAAUAACCAAGCCGUUGCCACUGAUGCUACAUUGAUGUUUCAGGAAGAUCAAUUAGCCACCGACUAUAGACAUAUGACUGCUGCUGGAACUUCUAACCCAAGUCAGGUGUUAAUAUCUUUACGUGUGUUGAUUUGAACCGAGAAAUAUUUUACGUGUGAUUUUCUAGUACUGAACAAUUGUUAAUCGAGAGACACAUAGAGUUUUCACUGGAGAAGCAUGGGGUUAUCUCGGAAGCAGAAGAUUUUUAGUAGAACUUGACGAGCACUCAGAUGCUGUUCAUGGCCUUAAUCGCUCGUUAAUUGAAAAGGGUCUCAUUCAAGGUGCUAAAAACUACUUUGCUCAUGCAGAAGGGGAUUCUUCUGCCACAAAUCAGAUAAUGGCUGCCCUGAAACAUGCCCAAGAGUCGCUACCGUCUGAAGAUACAAAUAUUGCAUCUGCAAGUGUCUCAAAUAUUACAUCAUUUUUUUUUGUAGCCUUAGGGUGACAUUCAUUAUUCAUAACUUAGGCUUUUUUUUAAAAAAAUUGAAUCCUCUUGUAUAGAAUCCAUGUUGACAUAACUUAGAUUCUGAGAUUUUGUAUGAGUUAUUGUUCUGAGUAUUCUCUUA